rnacentral:sRNA from 1 species
AGCUGGGCUCAGGGUGUCUAGGUGGGAGCUUGGCAUUGCCAGCCGGGGCUGGUUUGAGGAUCUACAGCACCAGCCUCAUACUUCAGAGGUCCUCAAAAGGCCCCAGCCCAGGCAUCAUCCAGGGUGAGCCCUCCUCUCCUGGCUCAGCCUGACCCCCAUCAGUCUCCAGGGCCCUGCUACAAGUCUCCCCUCCUCCCACAGGCUAGGCCGCCGGAAGGUACUCAUCUUGAACUACCUGCAGACAGCUGUGUCAGGGACCUGCGCAGCCUUCGCACCCAACUUCCCCAUCUACUGCGCCUUCCGGCUCCUCUCGGGCAUGGCUCUGGCUGGCAUCUCCCUCAACUGCAUGACACUGAAUGUGGAGUGGAUGCCCAUUCACACACGGGCCUGCGUGGGAACCUUGAUUGGCUAUGUCUACAGCCUGGGCCAGUUCCUCCUGGCCGGUGUGGCCUACGCUGUGCCCCACUGGCGCCACCUGCAGCUACUGGUCUCUGCGCCUUUUUUUGCCUUCUUCAUCUACUCCUGGUUCUUCAUUGAGUCGGCCCGCUGGCACUCCUCCUCCGGGAGGCUGGACCUCACCCUGAGGGCCCUGCAGAGAGUCGCCCGGAUCAAUGGGAAGCGGGAAGAAGGAGCCAAGUUGAGUAUGGAGGUACUCCGGGCCAGUCUGCAGAAGGAGCUGACCAUGGGCAAAGGCCAGGCAUCGGCCAUGGAGCUGCUGCGCUGCCCCACCCUCCGCCACCUCUUCCUCUGCCUCUCCAUGCUGUGGUUUGCCACUAGCUUUGCAUACUAUGGGCUGGUCAUGGACCUGCAGGGCUUUGGAGUCAGCAUCUACCUAAUCCAGGUGAU